rnacentral:rRNA from 1 species
UACGUAGGGUGCGAGCGUUAAUCGGAAUUACUGGGCGUAAAGCGUGCGUAGGCGGUUCGUUAUGUCUGCUGUGAAAGCCCCGGGCUUAACCUGGGAAUGGCAGUGGAAACUGGCGGGCUUGAGUGUGGCAGAGGGGGGUGGAAUUCCGCGUGUAGCAGUGAAAUGCGUAGAGAUGCGGAGGAACACCGAUGGCGAAGGCAGCCGCCUGGGCUGACACUGACGCUGAGGCACGAAAGCGUGGGGAGCAAACAGG